rnacentral:rRNA from 1 species
UAGGGAAUCUUCCGCAAUGGGCGAAAGCCUGACGGAGCAACGCCGCGUGAGUGAUGAAGGUCUUCGGAUCGUAAAACUCUGUUAUUAGGGAAGAACAAAUGUGUAAUUAACUAUGCACAUCUUGACGGUACCUAAUCAGAAAGCCACGGCUAACUACGUGCCAGCAGCCGCGGUAAUACGUAGGUGGCAAGCGUUAUCCGGAAUUAUUGGGCGUAAAGCGCGCGUAGGCGGUUUUUUAAGUCUGAUGUGAAAGCCCACGGCUCAACCGUGGAGGGUCAUUGGAAACUGGAAAACUUGAGUGCAGAAGAGGAAAGUGGAAUUCCAUGUGUAGCGGUGAAAUGCGCAGAGAUAUGGAGGAACACCGGUGGCGAAGGCGACUUUCUGGUCUGUAACUGACGCUGAGGCUCGAAAGCGUGGGGAGCGAACAGG